UUAUGUCAAGACUGUAAGCAUUAUUUCAAGACUGUAAGGAUUAUGUCAAGACUGUAAGAAUUAUGUCAAGACUUAAAGUAUUAUGUCAAGACUGUAAGUAUUAUGUCAAGACUGUAAGCAUUGUUGUGCUCAAACCAACACUAUUCAAUCGCAUUCGUGUCCGCACAGCAGCUUAGCUACCCUUUUGGUUCCGAGAUUACUACUUAAUUUACUUUUAUAUUACUUAUCCUAACAGCACCUUGUCCAGAUUGUAAGCAUGUUGACAAUGUUAAAAGCUUUAUGUCAAGAGUGUACCCAUUAUGACAGUGUAAGUCGAAGCUUGACAGACACACAGCACGCUCUGUUCAUCUUGUUUGCAUUGGAUAGAAUUUUGGAGUCCCAAAUACGUAAAAUAGUAGUGUCUAAGUGAGUGAAUUUAAAGUCUGUGAGGCUAAGGUCAAUUAUUGUUAACCUUUAAAAUAUGAGUCUAGACUAUAAAAUUAGAUCAAAUAUUGUAUUUUACACAAACUUUUUGUUCACUUGUAAAAACAUAUCAAAACAAGAUUUCUGUUAUACAACUUAAUCUGAAAAUGUUGACCUUUUAAUUAAAACGUUUGGUCUCUAUGUAUUAUGUGUCUUUUUUUUUAAAUUAGUGAACUUUGUACAAAUUUACACAAUCUACCAGACAGUGCCGGAUUUAAGUAUCUGGAGGCCCGAGGUAGAAUUUUAGUGGAGGCCCCUGCCAACCAUUAAAUUCGGCCCUGCUACCAGAAAUACAUCUACAUAGUUGAAGAAACACUUGUGUUUGUUUAAUUUAC